AGAGUUUGAUCCUGGCUCAGGACGAACGCUGGCGGCGUGCUUAACACAUGCAAGUCGAACGAAAAGAGGGAAAGAGCUUGCUCUUUCCGGAAUUGAGUGGCAAACGGGUGAGUAACACGUAAACAACCUGCCUUCAGGAUGGGGACAACAGACGGAAACGACUGCUAAUACCGAAUAAGUUCCAAGGGCCGCAUGGCCCAUGGAAGAAAAGGUGGCCUCUACCUGUAAGCUAUCGCCUGAAGAGGGGUUUGCGUCUGAUUAGCUGGUUGGAGGGGUAACGGCCCACCAAGGCGACGAUCAGUAGCCGGUCUGAGAGGAUGAACGGCCACACUGGAACUGAGACACGGUCCAGACUCCUACGGGAGGCAGCAGUGGGGAAUCUUCCGCAAUGGGCGAAAGCCUGACGGAGCAACGCCGCGUGAGUGAUGACGGCCUUCGGGUUGUAAAACUCUGUGAUCCGGGACGAAAAGGCAGAGUGCGAAGAACAAACUGCAUUGACGGUACCGGAAAAGCAAGCCACGGCUAACUACGUGCCAGCAGCCGCGGUAAUACGUAGGUGGCAAGCGUUGUCCGGAAUUAUUGGGCGUAAAGCGCGCGCAGGCGGCUUCCCAAGUCCCUCUUAAAAGUGCGGGGCUUAACCCCGUGAUGGGAAGGAAACUGGGAAGCUGGAGUAUCGGAGAGGAAAGUGGAAUUCCUAGUGUAGCGGUGAAAUGCGUAGAGAUUGGGAAGAACACCGGUGGCGAAGGCGACUUUCUGGACGAAAACUGACGCUGAGGCGCGAAAGCGUGGGGAGCAAACAGGAUUAGAUACCCUGGUAGUCCACGCCGUAAACGAUGGAUACUAGGUGUAGGAGGUAUCGACCCCUCCUGUGCCGGAGUUAACGCAAUAAGUAUCCCGCCUGGGAAGUACGAUCGCAAGAUUAAAACUCAAAGGAAUUGACGG
rnacentral:rRNA from 1 species